rnacentral:misc_RNA from 1 species
AUCUAUGACAAAACACCUCUCCAAAAUGCCCUGACGAUUGAAGGCCGCAUUAUAGCCCUUUGGCUAACAGAUCUCGAUUGUGCAUACCAACAACUUUACGCCUUCACAUAACGUCUGUGCAUCACUAUGGAGUAGCUACACAUGGAAGACAUGCCCUGAAUUUCAUUUCAUUGGACAGCAGUGGAAUUAUCAGGCCCAAACAAGUCAUCACAGGUUUUACUCUCA